GACGAACGCUGGCGGCGUGCUUAACACAUGCAAGUCGAACGGAAAGGCCCUGCUUUUGUGGGGUGCUCGAGUGGCGAACGGGUGAGUAACACGUGAGUAACCUGCCCUUGACUUUGGGAUAACUUCAGGAAACUGGGGCUAAUACCGGAUAGGAGCUCCUGCUGCAUGGUGGGGGUUGGAAAGUUUCGGCGGCUGGGGAUGGACUCGCGGCUUAUCAGCUUGUUGGUGGGGUAGUGGCUUACCAAGGCUUUGACGGGUAGCCGGCCUGAGAGGGUGACCGGCCACAUUGGGACUGAGAUACGGCCCAGACUCCUACGGGAGGCAGCAGUGGGGAAUAUUGCACAAUGGGCGGAAGCCUGAUGCAGCAACGCCGCGUGCGGGAUGACGGCCUUCGGGUUGUAAACCGCUUUCGCCUGUGACGAAGCGUGAGCGACGGUAAUGGGUAAAGAAGCACCGGCUAACUACGUG
rnacentral:rRNA from 1 species